rnacentral:rRNA from 1 species
AUUGAACGCUGGCGGCAGGCCUAACACAUGCAAGUCGAGCGAGCGGCGGACGGGUGAGUAAUGUAUGGGCAACUGCCUGAUGGAGGGGGAUAACUACUGGAAACGGUGGCUAAUACCGCAUACCAUCAGAUGUGCCCAUAUGGGAUUAGCUAGUCGGUGAGGUAACGGCUCACCUAGGCGACGAUCCCUAGCUGGUCUGAGAGGGUGAUCAGCCACACUGGGACUGAGACACGGCCCAGACUCCUACGGGAGGCAGCAGUGGGGAAUAUUGCACAAUGGGCGAAAGCCUGAUGCAGCCAUGCCGCGUGUAUGAAGAAGGCCUUAGGGUUGUAAAGUACUUUCAGCGGGGAGGCGUUACCCGCAGAAGAAGCACCGGCUAACUCCGUGCCAGCCGCCGCGGUAAUUC